CUGAUCGCUUUUUGGAUAUGUUGUGCGCUCAGAUCAGGGCUAUUCAGGAAUAUGCAUAUGUUGUGAGGUUUCUGUAUUCGUUUCAUGUAUUUUUGGGGUAUGUUAAAAAUAUAUGUAAGUUUCUGUAUUUGAGAGAUAAUAGAGUUAUCCUAAUUUGGGCUCAAUUAUCUUUAUUUGGAAACCCCAUUCUAGGGGCAAUGCAUAAAAGUG